CAUGUGGUUUAAUUCGACGCUACGCGAAGAACCUUACCUGGGCUUGAACUGCUGGUGGUACGAAGCCCGAAAGGGUAACGACCCGGAGCAAUCCGGGAGCCAGUAGAGGUGCUGCAUGGCUGUCGUCAGCUCGUGUCGUGAGAUGUUGGGUUAAGUCCCGCAACGAGCGCAACCCUUACCCUUAGUUGCCAGCGGGUAAUGCCGGGCACUCUAAGGGGACCGCCCCGGAUAACGGGGAGGAAGGCGGGAUGACGUCAAGUCAGCAUGGCCUUUAUGUCCAGGGCUACACACGUGCUACAAUGGGCGAUACAGAGGGAAGCAAGGCCGCAAGGUAGAGCUAAUCCCUAAAGUCGUCCUCAGUUCGGAUUGCAGGCUGCAACUCGCCUGCAUGAAGUCGGAAUCGCUAGUAAUCGCGGAUCAGCUACGCCGCGGUCGAAUACGUUCCCGGGCCUU
rnacentral:rRNA from 1 species